CACGGCGGGUGCUAACGUCCGUCGUGAAGAGGGAAACAACCCAGACCGCCAGCUAAGGUCCCAAAGUCAUGGUUAAGUGGGAAACGAUGUGGGAAGGCCCAGACAGCCAGGAUGUUGGCUUAGAAGCAGCCAUCAUUUAAAGAAAGCGUAAUAGCUCACUGGUCGAGUCGGCCUGCGCGGAAGAUGUAACGGGGCUAAACCAUGCACCGAAGCUGCGGCAGCGACACUAUGUGUUGUUGGGUAGGGGAGCGUUCUGUAAGCCUGUGAAGGUGUGCUGUGAGGCAUGCUGGAGGUAUCAGAAGUGCGAAUGCUGACAUAAGUAACGAUAAAGCGGGUGAAAAGCCCGCUCGCCGGAAGACCAAGGGUUCCUGUCCAACGUUAAUCGGGGCAGGGUGAGUCGACCCCUAAGGCGAGGCCGAAAGGCGUAGUCGAUGGGAAACAGGUUAAUAUUCCUGUACUUGGUGUUACUGCGAAGGGGGGACGGAGAAGGCUAUGUUGGCCGGGCGACGGUUGUCCCGGUUUAAGCGUGUAGGCUGAUUUUCCAGGCAAAUCCGGAAAAUCAAGGCUGAGGCGUGAUGACGAGGCACUACGGUGCUGAAGCAACAAAUGCCCUGCUUCCAGGAAAAGCCUCUAAGCAUCAGGUAACAUCAAAUCGUACCCCAAACCGACACAGGUGGUCAGGUAGAGAAUACCAAGGCGCUUGAGAGAACUCGGGUGAAGGAACUAGGCAAAAUGGUGCCGUAACUUCGGGAGAAGGCACGCUGAUAUGUAGGUGAAGCGACUUGCUCGUGGAGCUGAAAUCAGUCGAAGAUACCAGCUGGCUGCAACUGUUUAUUAAAAACACAGCACUGUGCAAACACGAAAGUGGACGUAUACGGUGUGACGCCUGCCCGGUGCCGGAAGGUUAAUUGAUGGGGUUAGCGGUAACGCGAAGCUCUUGAUCGAAGCCCCGGUAAACGGCGGCCGUAACUAUAACGGUCCUAAGGUAGCGAAAUUCCUUGUCGGGUAAGUUCCGACCUGCACGAAUGGCGUAAUGAUGGCCAGGCUGUCUCCACCCGAGACUCAGUGAAAUUGAACUCGCUGUGAAGAUGCAGUGUACCCGCGGCAAGACGGAAAGACCCCGUGAACCUUUACUAUAGCUUGACACUGAACAUUGAGCCUUGAUGUGUAGGAUAGGUGGGAGGCUUUGAAGUGUGGACGCCAGUCUGCAUGGAGCCGACCUUGAAAUACCACCCUUUAAUGUUUGAUGUUCUAACGUUGGCCCGUUAUCCGGGUUGCGGACAGUGUCUGGUGGGUAGUUUGACUGGGGCGGUCUCCUCCUAAAGAGUAACGGAGGAGCACGAAGGUUGGCUAAUCCUGGUCGGACAUCAGGAGGUUAGUGCAAUGGCAUAAGCCAGCUUGACUGCGAGCGUGACGGCGCGAGCAGGUGCGAAAGCAGGUCAUAGUGAUCCGGUGGUUCUGAAUGGAAGGGCCAUCGCUCAACGGAUAAAAGGUACUCCGGGGAUAACAGGCUGAUACCGCCCAAGAGUUCAUAUCGACGGCGGUGUUUGGCACCUCGAUGUCGGCUCAUCACAUCCUGGGGCUGAAGUAGGUCCCAAGGGUAUGGCUGUUCGCCAUUUAAAGUGGUACGCGAGCUGGGUUUAGAACGUCGUGAGACAGUUCGGUCCCUAUCUGCCGUGGGCGCUGGAGAACUGAGGGGGGCUGCUCCUAGUACGAGAGGACCGGAGUGGACGCAUCACUGGUGUUCGGGUUGUCAUGCCAAUGGCACUGCCCGGUAGCUAAAUGCGGAAGAGAUAAGUGCUGAAAGCAUCUAAGCACGAAACUUGCCCCGAGAUGAGUUCUCCCUGACUCCUUGAGAGUCCUGAAGGAACGUUGAAGACGACGACGUUGAUAGGCCGGGUGUGUAAGCGCAGCGAUGCGUUGAGCUAACCGGUACUAAUGAACCGUGAGG
rnacentral:rRNA from 1 species